CGGCCUCAGAUUGGUAGGACUACCCGCUGAACUUAAGCAUAUCAAUAAGCGGAGGAAAAGAAACUAACAAGGAUUCCCCUAGUAACGGCGAGUGAAGAGGGAAGAGCCCAAGAUUGAAAGCUGGCGUCUUCGGCGUCCGCAUUGUAAUCUCAAGAAGUGUUUUCCGUUUCGGACCAUGCCUAAGUCUCUUGGAAAAGAGCAUCAUAGAGGGUGAUAAUCCCGUACAUGGCAUGGAGCGCCCGAGACUUUGUGAUACGCUUUCUAAGAGUCGAGUUGUUUGGGAAUGCAGCUCAAAAUGGGUGGUAAAUGCCAUCUAAGGCUAAAUAUUGGGGAGAGACCGAUAGCGAACAAGUACAGUGAUGGAAAGAUGAAAAGAACUUUGAAAAGAGAGUUAAACAGUACGUGAAAUUGCCAAAAGGGAAGGGUAGGAGGUCAGAGAUGCGUUCUGGGAUUCAGCCUUGCUUUUGCUUGGUGUUUUUCCCAGAUGGCAGGCCAACGUCGGUUUUGGGCGCUGGAGAAGGGUGGAAGGAAUGUGGCACCUCUCGGGGUGUGUUAUAGCCUUCUACUGGAUACAGUGACCGAGACCGAGGACAGCAGCGUACUCGCAAGAGCGGGCCUUCGGGCACCUUUACGCUUAGGG
rnacentral:rRNA from 1 species